rnacentral:rRNA from 1 species
GGACUACCGGGGUUUCUAAUCCUGUUUGCUCCCCACGCUUUCGUGCCUGAACGUCGGUGCUGGACCAGGAAGCCGCUUUCGCCACUGGUGUUCUUUCCGAUAUCUACGCAUUUCACCGCUACACCGGAAGUUCCGCUUCCCUCUUCCGCACCCUAGCCAGACAGUCUCGAAUGCAAUUCCCAGGUUGAGCCCGGGGCUUUCACACCCGACUUAUCUAACCGUCUACGCACGCUUUACGCCCAGUAAUUCCGAUUAACGCUCGCACCCUCUGUAUUACCGCGGCUGCUGGCAC